rnacentral:tRNA from 1 species
GAGCAUAGCUCAGCUGGGAGAGCAUCUGCCUUACAAGCAGGAGGUCACAGGUUCGAGCCCUGUUGUUCCC